GGCUCUGUGGCUCAGCGGUCAGAGCACUGGUCUUGUAAACCAGGGGUCGUGUGUUCAACUCUCACCAGGGCCU